rnacentral:rRNA from 1 species
CUUAGUGGCGGACGGGUGAGUAACGCGUGGGGAACCUGCCCUGUACCGGGGGAUAGCAGCCGGAAACGGCUGAUAAUACCGCAUAAGCGCACGAAUGUCGCAUGACAUGGUGUGAAAAACUCCGGUGGUAUAGGAUGGACCCGCGUCUGAUUAGCCGGUUGGUGGGGUAAAAGCCUACCAAAGCGAAGGUCAGUAGCCGAGUUGAGAGACUGACCGGCCACAUUGGGACUGAGACACGGCCCAGACUCCUACGGGAGGCAGCAGAC